CUUUUUUUUCUUUCUUUCUUUUUCUAAAUUACUACCACUUGGUUCAAGGACAAUAGAUCACGUCUGUCAAGUUUGAAAUGGAUUGGAUUCUUUUUGCUCUUGUCAAAUCUAAGAUCUGUGAGUUAAACCUGCUUCGCGGAGAACAUGACCCUGUGCUGGUCACGUUGCAGUCUCCCCGUGGAAAGCAAGCACCACAGUGCUUUGCUCUGCGGGAUUCCAGAGCUGUGAGUCAACAUACUUAUCCCCUGGUUUGGGGCAAAACAUCUGAAACACAAGUGGAAACCAAAAGGUUUUAUGCAACACAAGACAUGCGUGGCUAUCGGAUGUUACAACGUAAAGAAUUUCACACCAUCCUCGAGGGCUGUGCGGGUAGAAAGAGUUGGGCAGCUUCACCCGAAGUGAAAGUCUCUCUGGGAAUGUGAAGAAUGCUGUGGCAAAUACAGGAGAGCACACAAGAGAAGGCUGUAAUGAUGGUGUCGACCCACCACAAGUGCCAGACAAAACUGACCGAUCACAGUCAAAACUGCUACCAUACUGCACAGCACAUGCCAAAAAUGGAAUUGUUACUGAACUCACUGAAGUCUCUGUGGCAUCUGGCCAUUGUGCCUUGCUUGCUGGAGCCCUGGGUGGCUUGGUCCCUUGCCUUCUUUUGCUCUGAGCUCCCCAUAAAGUUAAUAAUAUUUUGAGUUAUUUCAUCCCUAGAUGACAGUAGCACACCUGAACACGGUACAGUCUGCUGCCAAAAUUUAGCCAGCAGGCUGAGCAAACAGGAAGUUUGUUUGGAGGGAAAGUCUUAAAGAGCACAUGGUAUUUUUUCACAUUCACUCAAGUUGGAGUACAUUUGUGUAUUUGUGUAUAUGUGGAGUUUUUAACAUCCUUUCUAUGUGUCAUGAUAGCUGGUGAGAUGGCAGAUGUAUUAGCUAAUUACAUUAAUCUUUUUACCAUAUGGGUGUGUAUGGGUGUGUGUACCCCCCAAAUAUACAAGUAUUGUUUGUCAUUUAACAUUUUUAAAAGACAGGAACUGUUUUGAGUAUAAUAAUUUAAAUAUAGUUCUUAUAGAAUUGCUGGAAACUAGGCUUCUAGAUGAACGUUAGGCCAGACCAGACCAGACCAGGGUGACUGCCCUCUGUUACUCAGGAAGACUGGAGUCAGGAAGAGAGCAGCCACAUCCUUCCUGCUCCAUUGGCCUCUUUUCCUGUCCAGUCCAAAGCUCUAGCUUCCACUCCUACUGGGGGUUCAGGGCUUUUCUGAGAACUGCUAGAUACAGCCAGCAAGACACAUCCUGCCCCGUGAAUGUCUAAUUGCCAAAGUGUAACUUGUAUCUAAACAAAAAUUAGGUUUUGUUUAAAUAAUUGACACAUAAUGAAAAUGAUGCCUGGGUAUAGAGAAGCGUGGUAGUUCUGUGUGACGAGUUGAGUCACGAUCAAUGCGAGAGAAUUAGCAUUCCCUUUUCCUUAAAUGUGUGUCA